UGAGGAAUAUUGCGCAAUGGGGGCAACCCUGACGCAGCAACGCCGCGUGAGUGAGGAAGGUUUUCGGACCGUAAAGCUCUGUCGAGCGGGAAGAAGUGCAUGGUGGCUAAUAUCCAUCAUGCUUGACGGUACCGCUAGAGGAAGCACCGGCUAACUCCGUGCCAGCCGCCGCGGUAAUACGGGGGGUGCAAGCGUUGUUCGGAAUUAUUGGGCGUAAAGAGCGUGUAGGCGGCUGAAUAAGUCAGAUGUGAAAUCCCCGGGCUUAACCUUGGAAGUGCAUUUGAAACUAUUCAGCUGGAGUAAGGGAGAGGAAAGUGGAAUUCCUGGUGUAGAGGUGAAAUUCGUAGAUAUCAGGAGGAACACCGGCGGCGAAGGCGACUUUCUGGCCCUAUACUGACGCUGAGACGCGAGAGCGUGGGUAGCAAACA
rnacentral:rRNA from 1 species